rnacentral:rRNA from 1 species
UACGUAGGGUGCGAGCGUUGUCCGGAAUUACUGGGCGUAAAGAGCUCGUAGGUGGUUUGUCGCGUUGUUCGUGAAAACUCACAACUCAAUUGUGGGCGUGCGGGCGAUACGGGCAGACUGGAGUACUGCAGGGGAGACUGGAAUUCCUGGUGUAGCGGUGGAAUGCGCAGAUACCAGGAGGAACACCGGUGGCGAAGGCGGGUCUCUGGGCAGUAACUGACGCUGAGGAGCGAAAGCGUGGGGAGCGAACAGG